rnacentral:rRNA from 1 species
GCCAGCCCGCUCAGAAACUACAAAGGAAUUGACGGGGGCCCACACAAGCGGUGGAGUAUGUGGUUUAAUUCGAUGCAACGCGAAGAACCUUACCUAGGUUUGACAUCCGGAAGACCUUCCCGAAAAGGAAGGGUGCCCUUCGGGGAAUUCCGAGACAGGUGCUGCAUGGCUGUCGUCAGCUCGUGCCGUGAGGUGUUGGGUUAAGUCCCGCAACGAGCGCAACCCUAUUGCCAGUUGCUACCAGGUAAUGCUGGGCACUCUGGUGAGACUGCCCCGGUUAACGGGGAGGAAGGUGGGACGACGUCAAGUCAUCAUGGCCCUUACGCCUAGGGCUACACACGUACUACAAUGGCGCAUACAAAGGGCAGCGAUACCGCGAAGUGGAGCCAAUCCCAAAAAGUGCGUCCCAGUCCGGAUUGCAGUCUGCAACUCGACUGCAUGAAGUUGGAAUCGCUAGUAAUUCGAGAUCAGCAUGCUCGGGUGAAUGCGUUCCCGGGCCUU